AGGGCGUAUGGUGGAUGCCUUGGCAGACAGUACCGAUGAAGGACGUUUGAGGAUGCGAUAAUCCUAGGGGAGCCUCCAACAUGGCUUUGAUCCUAGGGUCUCCGAAUGGGGGAACCCGCCGGCCGUCAUGGGCCGGCACCGCCUAUGGGCGGGGGGUACGCAGGGAAGUGAAACAUCUCAGUACCUGCAGGAAGGGAUACUCCGUGAGUAGUGGCGAGCGAAAGCGGAUGAUGGCCAAACCUUGCGCGUGUGAUACCCGUCGGGGGUUGCGCGCGGGGUGUUGCGGGAUCGCGUGCGCCGGCUCCGACGGGCCGGCCGGCAGUUGCAGAAAACCAUGUGUCAGGGGAACCGGGUUGAAUACCGGGCCGCAGAGGGUGAGGGCCCCGUACCUGAACGCGCAUGGUCUGCCGAUCGCGUCUCCCAAGUAGCACGGGUCCCGUGGAACCCCGUGCGAAUCCGCCCAGACCGUUGGGUAAGCCUGAAUAUUCCUGUCUGACCGAUAGCGAACGAGUACCGUGAGGGAAAGGUGAAAAGUACCCCGGGAGGGGAGUGAAACAGUCUCUGAAACCGUGCGCCUACAAUCCGUCGGAGCCCUUUUGUGGGGUGACGGCGUGCCUAUCGAAAAAUGAGUCUGCGAGUCAGUGGCGGGUGGCGAGCAUAAGCCGUGUGGCGUAUGCGUAGCGAAAGCGAGUCUUAAAAGGCGUUUUUAGUCGCUUGUCCUGGACCCGAAGCGGGAUGAUCUAGCCCUGAGCAGGUUGAAGCGCGGGUAAGACCGCGUGGAGGACCGAACCCACCUGGGUUGAAAACCGGGGGGAUGACUUGGGGCUAGGGGUGAAAGGCCAAUCAAAUUCCGUGAUAGCUGGUUCUCUCCGAAAUGCAUUUAGGUGCAGCGUCGGUCGAUUGCGUCGCGGGGGUAGAGCUACCGGAUGCUUGCGGGCCCUUGUUGGGUACCAACAGCAGCCGAACUCCGAAUACCGUUGACGUGUAUUCCGGCAGUGAGUCGGCGGGGGAUAAGCUCCGUCGUCGAGAGGGAGACAGCCCAGACCGUCGUCUAAGGUCCCGAAGCGUGUGCUAAGUGGGAAAGGAUGUGGAGUCGCAUAGACAGCCAGGAGGUUGGCUCAGAAGCAGCCACCCUUGAAAGAGUGCGUAACAGCUCACUGGUCUAGUGGUUCCGCGCCGACAAUGUAGCGGGGCUCAAGCACACCACCGAAGACGCGGCAGCAAUCUUCAUGGUUGCUGGGUAGGAGAGCGUCCUGCAUGGGGCGAAGCGGCCGGGUAACCGUGCCGUGGACCGUGUGGGAGUGAGAAUGCAGACAUGAGUAGCGAGAGACGGGUGAGGAUCCCGUCCGCUGGAUGACCAAGGGUUCCAGGGCCACGUUCAUCGUCCCUGGGUGAGUCGGGUCCUAAGGCGAGGCCGACAGGCGUAGUCGAAUGGAUGAACGGGUGGAUAUUCCCGUACCGACCAUGGACCGGCAAAACCGAGACGGUGAGUACUAACCUCCGCCUCGUGGUGGUUCCUUCCUUCGGGUUGGUGUCGCCGCGUGGUGUUGGGAGCGUAGCCGCAGUAGGUCAGCGCAGGGGUGACACGGAAUGGGAGCCGGCCGCGGAGGUGGUUUUCCGUGGUCAAGCACGCAGCCAGUCAUGUAGGCAAAUCCGCAUGGCGUGCAUGGCGAGGUGUGAUGAUGGGAGCCGUUAUGGUUCGAUAUCCGGUUGUCCAGGCCGUCGAGAAAAGCCUCGGCGUGAGGGCCAUGGCCGCCCGUACCCCAAACCGACACUGGUGGUCAGGUAGAGAAUACCAAGGCGAUCGAGCGAAUCCUGGUCAAGGAACUCGGCAAAUCACUCCCGUGCCUUCGGUAUAAGGGAGACCCGCUGGGGUGAACCGGCUAGCCCGGGGAGCUUUGGUGGGUGGCACAGACCAGGGGGUAGCGACUGUUUACCAAAAACACAGGUGCAUGCGAAGGCGCAAGCCGCUGUAUAUGCACUGACGCCUGCCCGGUGCCGGAAGGUUAAGAGGAUCCGUCAGCCUUCGGGUGAAGCGGUGAAUUCAAGCCCCGGUAAACGGCGGUGGUAACUAUAACCAUCCUAAGGUAGCGAAAUUCCUUGUCGGGUAAGUUCCGACCUGCACGAAUGGCGUAAUGAUGGCCAGGCUGUCUCCACCCGAGACUCAGUGAAAUUGAACUCGCUGUGAAGAUGCAGUGUACCCGCGGCAAGACGGAAAGACCCCGUGAACCUUUACUAUAGCUUGACACUGAACAUUGAGCCUUGAUGUGUAGGAUAGGUGGGAGGCUUUGAAGUGUGGACGCCAGUCUGCAUGGAGCCGACCUUGAAAUACCACCCUUUAAUGUUUGAUGUUCUAACGUUGACCCGUAAUCCGGGUUGCGGACAGUGUCUGGUGGGUAGUUUGACUGGGGCGGUCUCCUCCUAAAGAGUAACGGAGGAGCACGAAGGUUGGCUAAUCCUGGUCGGACAUCAGGAGGUUAGUGCAAUGGCAUAAGCCAGCUUGACUGCGAGCGUGACGGCGCGAGCAGGUGCGAAAGCAGGUCAUAGUGAUCCGGUGGUUCUGAAUGGAAGGGCCAUCGCUCAACGGAUAAAAGGUACUCCGGGGAUAACAGGCUGAUACCGCCCAAGAGUUCAUAUCGACGGCGGUGUUUGGCACCUCGAUGUCGGCUCAUCACAUCCUGGGGCUGAAGUAGGUCCCAAGGGUAUGGCUGUUCGCCAUUUAAAGUGGUACGCGAGCUGGGUUUAGAACGUCGUGAGACAGUUCGGUCCCUAUCUGCCGUGGGCGCUGGAGAACUGAGGGGGGCUGCUCCUAGUACGAGAGGACCGGAGUGGACGCAUCACUGGUGUUCGGGUUGUCAUGCCAAUGGCACUGCCCGGUAGCUAAAUGCGGAAGAGAUAAGUGCUGAAAGCAUCUAAGCACGAAACUUGCCCCGAGAUGAGUUCUCCCUGACUCCUUGA
rnacentral:rRNA from 1 species